UGUUUUCCGACUUUGUUCGGAUCUUUGAUUUCCUCUUAGUCGAUGUUGUUUUUCUCUUAGCUUGUUUGUGUUAUCGACUAAAUAGGAAUUUAUAUUUUGUUGUUUUUCCCUCUUCCCUCUUUCUACAAAACUUUAUUUUAAAUCCCGUUUGCUUUUGGUUGGAUUAACAAGCAACUUGAUACUUCUUCAUAGAUGGAGUAAUUUCUUCACCGCUAUGUCCUCUUCGUUUAGGAUUGAAGACCUCUCUUCUAGGACUUAGGUGGAGCUUCCACUUGGGGUUGGAUUGAGUUUGUCUUUUGAUGAAUCCAGUUUAAUU